GUUCGAUUCUGGCUCAAAUUGAACGCUGGCGGGAUACUUUACAUGCAAGUCGAACGGCAGCACGGACUUCCGGUCUGGUGGCGAGUGGCGAACGGGUGAGUAAUGUAUCGGAACGUGCCUAAUGUGGCGGGGGAUAACUACGCGAAAGCGUAGCUAAUACCGCAUACGCCCUUCGAAGCGGGGACGGGCCUCGCACUAUUAGAAGCGGCCGAUAUCAGUUAGCUGGACGAAGGGUGGGGUAACGGCUCACCAAGGCGACGAUCCGUAGCGCUGGUUUGAGAGGACGACCAGCCACACUGGGACUGAGACACGGCCCAGACUCUACGGGAGGCAGCAGUGGGGAAUUUUUGGACAAUGGGGAAACCUGAUCCAGCCAUCCCGCGUAUUGAUGACCUUCGGGUUGUAAAGCACUUUUGGCAGGAAAGAAGCGGCACGGGAUAAUGCCCCGUGCAAGCGGCGAUACUGCAGAAUAAGCACCGGCUAACUACGUGCCAGCAGCCGCGGUAAUACGUAGGUGCAAGCGUUAAUCGGAAUUACUGGGCGUAAAGCGUGCGCAGGCGGUUCGGAAGAAAGAUGUGAAAUCCCAGAGCUUAACUUUGGAACUGCAUUUUAACUACCGAGCUAGAGUGUGUCAGAGGGAGGAGUGGAAUUCCGCGUGUAGCAGUGAAAUGCGUAGAUAUGCGGAGGAACACCGAUAGCGAAGGCAGCCUCCUGGGAUAACACUGACGCUCAUGCACGAAAGCGUGGGAGCAAACAGGAUUAGAUACCCUGGUAGUCCGCCCUAAACGUGUAGCUAAGCUGUUGGAGCCUUUAAGGCCUUGAUGGCCGCAGCUAACGCAUCAAAGUUCGACUUACGCCACAAAGUCACGAAGUCGCAAAUUCAAACUCAAAGGAAUUGACGGGGACCCGCACAAGCGGUGGAUGAUGUGGAUUAAUUCGAUGCAACGCGAAAAACCUUACCUACAUGACAUGUCUGGAAUCCCGAGAUUUGGGAGUGCUCGCAAGAGAACCGGAACACAGGGUGCCAUGGCUGUCGUCAGCUCGUGUCGUGAGAUGUUGGGUUAAGUCCCGCAACGAGCGCAACCCUUGUCGGUAGUUGCUACGAAAGGGCACUCUAAAUGAGACUGCCGGUGACAAACUGGAGAAAGUCAGGAUUCGCUAUCGAAGUCCUCAUGGCCCUUAUGGGUAGGGCUUCACACGUCAUACAAUGGUCAGGACAGAGGGUCGCCAACCCGCGAGGAGCCAAUCCCCAGAAACCCGAUCGUAGUCCGGAUCGCAGUCUGCAACUCGACCGCAUUGAGAUCGGAAUCGCUAGUAAUCGCGGAUCAGCAUGUCGCGGUGAAUACGUUCCCGGGUCUUGUACACACCGCCCGUCACACCAUGGGAGUGGGUUUUUUACCAAGAAGUAGUUAGCUAACCGUAAGGGCGAUUACCACGGUAGGAUUCGCGGCUGGGGUGAAGUCGUAACAAGGUGAC
rnacentral:rRNA from 1 species